UACGUAGGUGGCAAGCGUUGUCCGGAAUUAUUGGGCGUAAAGCGCGCGCAGGUGGUUCUUUAAGUCUGAUGUGAAAGCCCCCGGCUCAACCGGGGAGGGUCAUUGGAAACUGGGGAACUUGAGUGCAGGAGAGAAGAGUGGAAUUCCACGUGUAGCGGUGAAAUGCGUAGAGAUGUGGAGGAACACCAGUGGCGAAGGCGGCUCACUGGUCCGGUACUGACGCUGAGGUGCGAAAGCGUGGGGAGCAAACAGG
rnacentral:rRNA from 1 species